rnacentral:tRNA from 1 species
GGGGGUAUAGGCUUAAUGGCAAACCGUCCGCCUCCAAAGCGGAUUUUCCGGGUUCGAAUCCUGGUGCCCCCG